CCAUUUCCUUCUCCUUCACCUUCUAAAAGUAACAAUAGGUUUUCACAAUUCACACCCUCCAGCGAGCGAUGGUUUGUCCAGGGCAAAGAAAAGCAAGAAACCAAAGUCAACUGAUUGAUGCCCCAUUUUGAACUCCACCAGGCAACAGAUUAUCACCUCUUUUUUUCUUGGUGGGUUGACUCCUGUUUGUCACGAAGAAGGAAUUAAUAUCCCUCUGCUGGCUGAUCCUGGGGACACGUACCCGGCUGAGAAUAUAUCAGAUCGGUUUUCUUUAAACAACUUU
rnacentral:misc_RNA from 1 species